rnacentral:rRNA from 1 species
AUUGCACGCUAGCGGGAUGCUUUACACAUGCAAGUCGAACGAGUGGCGGACGGGUGAGUAAUAUAUCGGACCGUGCCCAGUCGAGGGGGAUAACUACUCGCAACAGUGGCUACUACCGCAUACUAUUUGAUCUGCCCAUAUCGGAUUAGCUAGUUGGUGGGGGAAAGGCUCACCAAGGCAACGAUCCGUAGCUGGGUUGAGAGGACGACCAGCAAGACUGGGAAUGAGACACGGCCCAGACUCCGACGGGAGGCAGCAGGGGGGAAUUUUGGACAAUGGGGGAAACCAUGAUGCAGCCAUGCCGCGUGGAUGAGAAGGCCUUCGGGUUGUAAAGUACUUUUGGUAGAGAAGCGGUAUCUGCAGAAUAAGCACCGGCUAACUCCGUGCCAGCAGCCGCGGUAAUGC